UGCAUGGCAAGUCCUAAACUCUUGUGUCCAUGUAGAUCAGAAUGGGAACUGGUUUUCUUUCAUUCACUGUGUAUGAAGAAAAUACGCAGUUAUCUCAUGAAGGCCGAGGUUGUGUCAUUCCCUAAGCUUCUUCCUGUGAGCUCACGCUGGGCAGGGCCAGCACAGAUCGUUCAUCUUUUCUGCACCCCAUGACCGAGAAGCUGAUCAAUUUCCAGAAUAGCUCUAUCUGUUGAUAAAAUUGGAAAUGUUUGGGCCAA
rnacentral:lncRNA from 1 species